UGCGCCGUGCCGCAGACCGCAGUGCAGGGACUGGGAGCAGAGCAGUAGAGUAAGCACUGAGCAAGUGAGCAGUGAGCAAUCGGUGGGAAUUCUUCUUGCAAGUCAAGCGGAUAUCAUCACUUAUUUUCAAGGGACGAAGGAUCGGAAAGUUGUCUUAUAAAUUUUAAGCUUUCUUAUCAUUAUGUUAUUUUUUGCUUUAGUAUGCCAAACAACUAGUACUUAGUAUGUUGGAUAAUUUCAAGAUUUGUCCAAUUCCAUGUUAAAUGUAUUGUGAUCUUGUUGUGCAUACUCAAUUUAUAUGUCCUAAAUAUUAAAAAUUAUUGGUA